AUGUAACUGUAAUUGUUCAGUUUAACCUGAUAAGUCAACUGAAUCGAAACUGUUGAAAAGCAUUCAUGCUCUUUGUUGCCAGCCUGUCAUAGUCAGGACUGAAUAAACACUUGCUGGUUGAUGGGCUGAUUUGAGUCCUGUUAGCCGUUUCUCGUUGUCUGACAUCCCCUGGGACUGGGGGUUCUGAGUGGCCAGCACAUCACAAAGGUCUUACCUUGACAUCUAAUAAUGUCUGAGGGUUCCAGGACUAGCUGUAAAGCAGCCUCAGAGGGAUGAUUUGUGCCUGUAGCAUCAGAUUCAAAAGACUCACAUCCAAACCCUUGCUUGGCUUUUUAUUACCUGUGUGCCCUUGGGAAAAUCAUUGACCAUCCCAAUUCCUCCAUAUAAUCAGAAUAAAUAAGGAGAGUAACUAAUAAUAAUGGAAAUGUUCCACGUGCUUAAGUUUAGGAGAUCUUAUCUCAUUUCUUUGUCACAAGAAGUCUGUUGAUCCAUUGGGGUGUCUAGGGUGUUCAGGGAAGACCAGUACCUCUGGGGGACGACUCAUUCACCUUUGGUGUCUACCUGCCUCCUAGUCCUCACCUGUGGCUCCAAGAAGCUGUAACAUGAACAGCGGCCAUGUCUCAGGAAACCAUCUUGGCAGGAACAGAAGCUGAGCCUGAGAAUCUGGACUCUAAGGAACCAGAAAAAAAGAAGAGGCAAGACAGGAGGUAUCAAGGAAAGAGGGAAGACCUCCAGCUUUUAAUCUCUCUCUCCCUCUCUCUCUCCUUCUCUCUCUCCUCUCCCUCUCUCCUCUCGAGCCCUCUUUUUUCUUCUCUCUCCCCAUCUCUCUCCUCUCUCUCUCUCCUUCUCUCUCCCCUUUCUCUCUCUCAAUCUCUCUCUCUCUCUCUCUCUCUCUCUCUCUCUCUCUCUCUCUCUCUCACACACACACACACACACACACACACACACACACACACACACACACACGAAUUUACUCAGAGACCCAAAAAGGGCAGCAAGAAAACUUGCCCAAAAAGCUAAUAUUUGAACUAGCACAGACACAUGUAUGUAUUUCCUGGCCACCAAGCCGCUUUAUCCCUCCAAUUUGACAAAGAUGGUUAACAUUUCUCUGAAUUCUCUUUGCCCCUAAUUCGGCCUCCAUUAAUACUAUUCUUCAGAGCCUCCCAGGGACACCUCUGGGCUCUUUCUGGUUCCCUUGUUCAUGGUUAAUGAGAGACUGUGCCAAAUUGUGGAAAGAACAUUGGCCUUGAAGUCCAAAGACCAGGAUCACAGAUUGAGAGCUUAAUGUGACCUUAGAGUCUUGUUUCUGACUCUUGCUAGCUAUGGGAUCCUUGAUCAUUCACUGAUUGUCUCUGUCUCAGUUUCUCCAUCUUCAGAAAUGGGGAUAAUAAUACAAGACUAGGUUGUUGGGAAGAAAAGUUUUGAGCCACACAUAAACAGAACAGCUUGAGCCUUUGCUUUCCUCUUUUUUUGAACUGAGAGGAGAGGAAGGAACAAAAAAAUAGAUUUUUGUUCAUAGGAAAAAAAUCUGAUUAGAAAAAUAAACAAUGCUUUGGGAACUACUAGAUCA
rnacentral:lncRNA from 1 species